rnacentral:rRNA from 1 species
GAUGAACGCUGGCGGCGUGCUUAACACAUGCAAGUCGAACGGAAAGGCCCUGCUUGCGUGGGGUGCUAGAGGGGCAAGCGUGUGUGUAACACGAGUGUCACCUGCCCUUGACUUUGGGAUAACUUCAGAAAAGUGGGGCUAAUACGGUAGAGGAGCUCCCGCUGCGUGGUGGGUGGUGGAAAUUUUCGGCGGUUGGGGAUGGACUCGCGGCUUAUCAGCUUGUUGGUGGGGUAGUGGCUUACCAAGGCUUUGACGGGUAGCCGGCCUGAGAGGGUGACCGGCCACAUUGGGACUGAGAUACGGCCCAGACUCCUACGGGAGGCAGCAGUGGGGAAUAUUGCACAAUGGGCGGAAGCCUGAUGCAGCAACGCCGCGUGCGGGAUGACGGCCUUCGGGUUGUAAACCGCUUUCACCUGUGACGAAGCGUGAGUGACGGUAAUGGGUAAAGAAGCACCGGCUAACUACGUG